rnacentral:piRNA from 1 species
UAGUACUGGGGAAGGCUGAGACAGGA